rnacentral:lncRNA from 1 species
UAGAGUCGAGUGCCUUAUUACUGAUCAAACAUUGUCCGUAAUUGGAUGACCAUAAAGACAGUUGAUGGGUACUCCACGAAGCAUGUUGAGGGACAUGAGUGACCUAGAUGGAAUUUUCCCGUCCUGCGUAACAGGAUAAAUGUCUACGGGCCCAAUAUUGAAUUGGACAAGGAUGACACAGUCUAUGCCUUGUGUUCAAUAUAGACAUAGGGGAAAAGGGUAAUUAUACACAUAAGUAUUAUCACAAAAGGAUUUGUCAGAUCACAUGACAUUUU